UCAUGGGAUAAAGAGAAGCAACAAUUUUGGUUAAUAUUUCAGUUUAAAGUUAACCCAACCGAAUGUCAAGUCAAGUUAAAUCUAGACUUGAAUUUUAAUAAAAGUCAAUCUUUUUUUAUUUGUUUUAAACCAAAUUGUCAUCGUUCAAUUAUCUCUCUCUCUCUCUCUCUCUCUCUCUCUCUCUCUCUCUCUCUCUUAUCAUCCAUCUUCUUACCUUCUCACUCUGUCAUUUUGUCUUCUAAUCAAUCAGUUAGUCUCUGUCUUUUUCUCACUUACUCUAUCUUACUGUCUAUCUUUACAUCUCUCCUUUGCUCUCUAAAAGCACACAAUUUUUGUGUCUUCUUUAUCUUCUUCUUCUUCUGCUUCAUCUUCUGACUAUUAGUUUGGCUACUUUUACUUGGUUACUCAUUUCAGAAUUCAUUUCAUCAAGUUCACAUCAACAUUUUCAACAUUUAAGUUUUCAGUUUCAGUUUCUAUUUUACUGUUUGACUGUUCCACUGUUUUGCUAUUGUAAUAUUUUACAAUUUGUUAAUUUAUAUCAAUCAUCAUCAAUUUAAACAUCAACAAAAAUAUCAACAAGAUAAAUAUUAUUUAAUAUAUCAACAUUGAUACGAAAACCUUGAAAUUAAAGAUGAAGCUAAAAAUUGCAUUUCUUCCUAUGGACGGGCAUGGACAUGUAAAUGCUUGUAUUGGUUUGGCUAAAAUAUUACAAAAAUAUAAUCAUGAAUGUAUUUUUGUUGUACCAAAAAAUUGGACAAAAGCUGUUGCUGGAAAUAAUUUUGGUAUUGAAUCAAUUGUUGCUGAUGGUUUUGAAGCUGAUAGAGAUCCUCAAGAAAAAUGGGGUAAAUUCAUGGAGGAAAGAUCACGAGUAUUUGAUAUGGAGACAAUUGAAAAAUUUAUUCAUUUAAAUGUGCCAAGUAAUGAAAAUUUUUAUGAUUAUUUGUUGAAAACAGAUGAUCAAUAUACAGUGAUUCUUGAAAGAAUGAAACCAGAUUUAAUUAUAUUUGAUUUUUGGGUUUCUGUUCCUGCAAUUAUUAAUUCUGGAAUACCUUAUGUGGUUCUAUGGUCAACCAGUCCAUUGAUUGCUUAUUGGGGACCAAAUGUACCACCAUAUUCAUCAGCUCUUGGAAUAAAUGAUGAUCCUGCAGAAUUUGAGAGACUACGUUUGGCAUUUAAUGAUAGUUUGGCUGUUAUUAAAAAACAAUUUGACGAAUUGUUUCUAUCUAAAGGAAUUGAUCCAGAGACAGAGGAUCGUCUUGAUUUCUCUAUACUUGGUAAAUCACCAUAUUUAAAUUUAUAUCCUUAUCCAGAGGAUUUAGAUUACUCUGAAUUUGGUCCAGUUCCAGAUAAAUGGUUUAGAGUUGAUCAUAUGGUACGAGGAAGUGAUGAUAUACCACUUGGAAUAGAUGAAAGUUUCUUUAAAGAGAAUGCUGAUUCAAAGAUUAUACUAUUUUCACUUGGUUCACUUGGAACAUCAAAUUAUAAAUUGAUGAGUCGAUUAAUUGGCAUAUUGGGUAAAUCACCACACAAGUUUAUUGUAUCAAAGGGUAUACACCAUGAUAAAAUUGUAUUACCUGAUAACAUGGUUGGAUCAAAAUAUUUGAAUCAAAUGAAGAUAAUGCCUCGUGUUGAUAUGGUUAUACAUCAUGGUGGUAAUAACAGUUUCAUUGAGACAAUUUAUUUUGGUAAACCUUUUAUUGUUAUGCCAUUAUUUGGUGAUCAACAUGAUAAUGGACGAAGAGCUGUUGACAAGAAGAUUGGUAAAUUUUUCUUACCUUAUCGAGUAACUGAAAGUGAAUUAUUGAAUGGUAUUGAUGAAAUUCUUAAUGAUAAAGAAUUAAUUAAAAGAGUUGAAUUGAUUGGGCAACAUUUAAGAGAAACAAAAAGUCAUGAUAUUUUAAAUGAGAAGCUAAUUGAAGUCGUUAAAAAUGGACCAUUGGAUAAAUUAUCGAAAGCAACUAAAAAAACAAUAACAUCACCACCAGUAAAGACAGUUGGACAAACAGUACCUUCAUGAAUGACAAUAAUCAAAGGACGAUUAACAUGAAUGGAAACAUGAAUGGAAAGAUGAAUGGAAACAUAACAGUUAAUAACAUGACAAACAAUAUGAAUGGAAAUAAUACAACAACAACAACAUCGCAAGAUAAAUCUGGUAAAAUAUCACCAGUCUGGAAUGAACCAUCAAUUCUAAUUGAGUCCUAACUAUUACUCAAUCUGGCAUGAGCCACUAUAUAUCUUUAAUCAAUCUAUAUUCUUUCAUUUUCAUAUUUUAUUUGCAAUUCCAAUUUCAUGUCAAUAUAAAUUCUUGGACCAUUUUCAAUUCGUAAUUAUAUACCUCGCUACUUUCUUUCAUUUUUCAUUAAAGACUACUUUUCUCCAUA